rnacentral:pre_miRNA from 1 species
GUAUAUAUGUGUGUAUACACAUAUAUGUGUAUAUAUGUGUGUAUACACAUAUAUGUGUAUACACAUAUAUGUGUA